rnacentral:rRNA from 1 species
GACGAACGCUGGCGGCGUGCCUAAUACAUGCAAGUAGAACGCACAGUUUAUACCGUAGCUUGCUACACCAUAGACUGUGAGUUGCGAACGGGUGAGUAACGCGUAGGUAACCUGCCUGGUAGCGGGGGAUAACUAUUGGAAACGAUAGCUAAUACCGCAUAAUAUUAAUUAUUGCAUGAUAAUUAAUUGAAAGGUGCAAUUGCACCACUACCAGAUGGACCUGCGUUGUAUUAGCUAGUAGGUGAGGUAACGGCUCACCUAGGCGACGAUACAUAGCCGACCUGAGAGGGUGAUCGGCCACACUGGGACUGAGACACGGCCCAGACUCCUACGGGAGGCAGCAGUAGGGAAUCGUCGGCAAUGGACGAAAGUCUGACCGAGCAACGCCGCGUGAGUGAAGAAGGUGUUCGGAUCGUAAAGCUCUGUUGUAGGAGAAGAACGGGUGUGAGAGUGGAAAGUUCACACUGUGACGGUAUCUUACCAGAAAGGGACGGCUAACUACGUG